rnacentral:rRNA from 1 species
UACGAAGGGGGCUAGCGUUGUUCGGAAUUACUGGGCGUAAAGGGCGCGUAGGCGGUCCUGAUCGUCGGAUGUGAAAGGCCUGGGCUCAACCUGGGAACUGCAUCCGAUACGGCGGGACUGGAGUGUGGGAGAGGUUGGUGGAAUUCCCAGUGUAGAGGUGAAAUUCGUAGAUAUUGGGAAGAACACCGGUGGCGAAGGCGGCUCACUGGCCCGGUACUGACGCUGAGGUGCGAAAGCGUGGGGAGCAAACAGG